rnacentral:rRNA from 1 species
GACAGAGGUGCCGAGCGUUAGGCGGAAUCACUGGGCUUAAAGGGCGCGUAGGCGGUCCGACAAGUCAGGGGUGAAAUCCUGCAGCUUAACUGCAGAAGUGCCUUUGAUACUGUCGGUCUUGAGGGAGAUAGGGGUGUGCGGAACUCACAGUGGAGCGGUGAAAUGCGUUGAUAUUGUGAGGAACGCCGGAGGCGAAAGCGGCGCACUGGAUCUCUUCUGACGCUGAGGCGCGAAAGCUAGGGGAGCAAACGGG